rnacentral:rRNA from 1 species
CGUGUAGGCGGUCUGCUAAGUCAUGUGUGAAAUCCCUCGGCUUAACCGAGGAACGACGCAUGAAACUGGCAAGCUAGAGUACCAAAGAGGGGGGUGGAACUCCCGGUGUAGCGGUGAAAUGCGUAGAUAUCGGGAGGAACACCGGUGGCGAAGGCGGCCCCCUGGUUGGAUACUGACGCUGAGACGCGAAGCGUGGGGAGCAAACA